rnacentral:rRNA from 1 species
CUUCCGAUCUGGAAAACCCACUGAACUGAAGCAUCUCAAUAAGUGGAGGAAAAUAAACUAACUAGGAUACUCUUAGUAAGUGCGACCGAAGAGAGUAAAGCUCAAUAAUCUAAACUUUAAAUUUUUAUAAUUUAAAGUCAUGUGAUUUUCUAAACUCAUUGAAAUUUUUAUAAAUUAUGAUUGAAUUCAUAACUAUAAAGAGUUAUAGUCUCGUUAUAUUGAAAUUUCAAGCAUGGGAAUUAGAAUUAAAGAGUCGGGUAGCUUGAGAAUGCUGCCUUAAUAUAGGUGGUACACCCCAUCUAAAGCUAAAUAUUGUAAAGAGACCGAUAGCAUACAAGUAGUGUGAACGAAAGAUGAAAAGAACUCCUAAACGGAGAAUUAAAAGCGCCUGAACUUGUCUAGGUUUUCGCAUUUCUUUAAUGCGCCCGUCUUGUAACACGGAUUAGGGAGUUUUACUUAAAUACGAGUCUUUAACUUUUAAAGUAAUUUUUUAAAAAAGGCGAAAAGAAAUUAACUGGUUUUUUAACAUGGCUAUAGAGUAUUUAAGUCAAAACCCGAAUGGAGGUGAACUAUUCCUGCAAAGAUUGAAGUCAGGGGAAACUCUGAUGGAAGAUCGUUGGCGUUAUUGAUGUGCAAAUCAUUUGCUUUAUGUAGGUAUAGGUGCGAAAGACUCAUCGAACCUCCUAAUAGCUGGUUUCCUCCGAAGUUUCCCUCAGGAUAGCUGUAACAUUUUUAAAUAGUUAAGGAUAGUAGAGAAAUGGGUAGAGGUGUAGUGGAACUACGGUUCUGCAACUUAUUUCCAAACUUCGAACGUUCUUGAUAUAAAAAAUUACCUAAUAGGAAUUUUUUAUUUAAAUAUAUGUUAUAAGUGGGCUCUGACCGGUAAGCGGUCAUGGCGAAAAGGGAUGAACCUAACGUAUAAAUAAGGUGCCUAAAUUUACUAACAAUGAAACCAUUAAAAGAGUCCAUGUAUUUAGACAGCGGGUCGGUGCCCCUAAAAGCAGGUAUCCGUUAAUGAGUGUGUUAAAACUCCCCCGCCGAAUACUCUGGCCUUGAAAAUGAAUGGCGCAUAUAGUAAUACCGAUAUUAUACAUUAAAAUUAUUUCAAAAUUUUAAAAGUAGGGGGAUGUGGAUAUCUUAGAGAAUUUUUAAUUGUAAAAUUGAAUUGAAAGAUAUCUAUUACAGAUCCUAAUUGAAGUAGCGAUUAUCCAGGUUAAUCUCCUGGGGGCUGAUGAGGAGUAGGGUUUCUGGGCAACUUAAACGGACCCAGAGUUAGUCGAUCCUAAUCAAAUUAAAUUUAGAGAAAGGGAAUAUGAAUGAUAUUUCAUAACUAAAAUUAAUUUUUAAAUGGUGACAUUUUUUUAAACUUAUUUCCAUCAAUUAAAUACUGUUUAAUAGGGAUUUCUUUCCUAUAUAACUUUUUAAUUAAAACUUAAGAAACAGGUUAACUGGAGAAUAAAGUUUUAAUUUAGUAAAAUUAUAAUUUCGAUUAUAAUAACGGCUAUUUAAAUGAUCCAUGAAACAAUAAGUUUAUUUUUUCAAAAAUUAAUUUAAUCGUACCGAUAACCGCAUCAGGUCUCCAAGGUGAGUAGCUUCUGGCCAUUGAGUAAUGGUAAUUUAGGGAAUUCGGCCAAUUAGAGCUGUAACUUCGGGAUAAAGCUUGGCUCUGAUGGAAAUCAGAACCGAUAGUUACAAGGAGAGCCCAACUGUUUAAUAAAAACUUAGUGUCGCGUCAUACCUUUAUAAGUAAUAAACGUGACAUGAAUCCUGCUCAGUGCUGUGUUUGUUAAACUGGAUUAAUCCAUUUAAGCGCCGGUAAAUAGCUGGGGUAACUAUGACUCUUAUCAAAGUAGCGAAAUACCUCGUCACUUAAUUAGUGACCUGCAUGAACGGAGCUAUGAGGUUCUCACUGUCCCAAAUUAUCACUCAGCGAACCAACAGUUGUGGGAACGGGCACAAAUUAUCCAGCGGGGAAAGAAGACCCUGUAGAGCUUCACUUUGGUCUAAUCUUGUAUAGUUUCGUUAGGGGUGCAGUCUAGGUGGGAGAUUUUUAAUCAAAUAUGAGAAACCACUACCCUUUCUGGAAUUAUACUUACUAAAAUUCUUUUCUAAAUUUUAGGAUCGGAUUAGAUAGAAAGUUUGGCUGGGGCGGCACACCUUCGAAAAAGCAGCGAAGGUGUCCUAAGUUAAGCUCAGUAAGGACAGAAAUCUUACGUUGAGGAUAAGGCCAAAAGCUUAAUUUACUGUGCCUUUUUGUACUAGGAUCAGUUUGGAAACAAAGGCCUAACGAUCCCUAAUUAGUCUUAGGUGUGUAAGACUUGGGGUGACAGACAAGUUACCUCCGGGACAACUGGCUUGUGGCUGCUAAGAGAUCAAAUCAACGCAGCUUUUUGAUUCUUCGAUGUCGGAGAUCGGAAGAGCGUCGU